CCCUACGGGGCGCAGCAGUAGGGAAUCUUCCACAAUGGACGAAAGUCUGAUGGAGCAACGCCGCGUGAGUGAAGAAGGGUUUCGGCUCGUAAAGCUCUGUUGGUAGUGAAGAAAGAUAGAGGUAGUAACUGGCCUUUAUUUGACGGUAAUUACUUAGAAAGUCACGGCUAACUACGUGCCAGCAGCCGCGGUAAUACGUAGGUGGCAAGCGUUGUCCGGAUUUAUUGGGCGGAAAGCGAGGGGAGGCGGGUUAAUAAAUCUG
rnacentral:rRNA from 1 species